AUUCUCAUUUAAACAGCAUAUAUACUAAAAUUGAAAGGAUACAGAGAUUAGCAUGGCCCGUUCAAGGAUGACACACAUAUUUAUGAAGUGUUUCACAUUAAA
ensembl:snRNA U6 U6 spliceosomal RNA